CUGCCUCGGAAACUACAUAACGACUGGGAAGGACCUACAAACAAGACUGGAACCAGUAGGAAGUUGUACAGUGGGAAGAAGAGGAUGGUCAAGAUUGACUGGCUGGAAGAUGAGAGAGCUCCCUCCUGAUGGUUUCUACUUGCCUUUGAAAUUCAUCAGCUAAGGCCAAGAAGAAGCAAGGGGUUCAUCAAACCAAAUUUGAACCUUCAGCUACUCCACUUGAAAAAUCAUGAUGGUUGGUUUAAGAAUCAGCAAGGUCUUUGAAGUUCUCUGGCAUGCAAGGCAAAUUAUAACUGGCUUCUUAACUGACAUCCGCCUCCUAUUGUGAAGGCAUGAACACCUAAUCCUAAAAC